rnacentral:lncRNA from 1 species
CAUUUUCAAAUUAUUUCUUUUUUUUUUUUCUCACUGCAGCAGAAAGGGACAGCAGUGCUUUGCUGCUGUCAGAAAGCUUGAAAAUUCCAUGUAAAGGAACAACCAGGGCAGACAGCUGUGCACAUUUAUACUUGGCUUACUGAGAAAGACCUGCAAUUACUGAAGUCUGAUACCCACUACUUAUCAGGAAAAAAGGUUGUGAGUAGGUGGGACUUGAUGACACCUAGAUCUUGCUCCAACACUGGAUGAAGCCAAGAAAUCAAUGCGCAGAAGCAGAAGUAAAUCUUCCAUUGAAAUGCAGGGUUGGAUAUUUGCUCCUCUUAAGAGAUGUGAUAUUUUCUGUUGUGAUUAAUUAUAUCUUCUUUAUAAUAAGUUUGUGUAUUUUACUGCGAUUUUGAUGAAAUAAGCCAAUCACGAUCUAACAUGAAGAC